UAUAGGUUAUUAUGUUAUUAUUUUACUGGUCCGACCCACUUGAGAUCAUAUUGGACUGAAUGUGGAACCUAAAAGAACAUGAGUUUGACAUCCCUGUGGUUAUAGUUCAAUGAUUACACAUUUACCUUGAGAUUUUUGAGUGAUGUGUUAAAUAGCGCUCUUCACUUCAUCGACAAACACCAAAUGAGGGAAUGUCCUGUAAAAGAAUGAUGUUCCAUCCCUUCAUCAGUUCACAGACUGGUAGAAUUAGUACUAAGGAACACUCAAAAGACUUUCAAGGCACACGGUGGAACAACACUUUGACUAUAUGUCAUGUUUUUUAUAUUAUUUGUUGUAUUUUCUUUCAUCUGUCACCUGUCUAUACCUAUACUAUGAUUAAAGACAUGACAAACUGU